CCCCCUACAGUCCUCAGCACUCUACAUCCACACCACGAGCUCAGGUUAGUACACCAGGAUAGACGUGCAUGCGACAUCUGCAAAGAAUCAAUCAACGGGCUGUUUUACCAAUGCAAGACCUGCGGCUUCGACGUCCAUCCACUCUGCACGCAGCUGCCUAAGGAAGUGAUCCACAAUCACGGAUAUACAAAACAAGUUCAGGUUCGAGAAUCCCAUACGGGUUCGACUAGUAAAACGGUUCGGGUAAUGGUUCUAGGCGCUGGUGUUGCUUGGCUUUGCAUGACAGGGGAUGUCUCUGGGGUCGUUUCUGCCUUCCUUUGAAAUGGCAUGUUUCUGACAUCCUGCCCCAUCAUGUGCAUGUUCCUUAUUCAAUAUAAGUUUUGUACUCUACUGUUUUAUACAAAAUCUUUUUAAAAAUUUUAAAGCAAAAAUAGCUAAAAAAAAGAACUGUUAUUUGUUUAUUCCGUUUUCCCAUGAGAAGUGUGAGUAAAAAAAAGGUUGUGUAUUUUAAAGUUGUGAAUUUUGAGAGUUUUUAGUUAUUUUAAAUUGUAUUACCAAAGUUACUUAGUUAAAUAAAAAACUCAAAAUUUUGAUAGUGUCAAAUUAAUUCCUAGAGUAGUUUAACAAAAACCACAAUAAAAUCUCAUUUCAUUUAAAGUCAUCAAUAAACUUAACAAAAAUCAAAUCAUUUCAAUUUUCUUUUAACGGUACCAUUCUUUUAAAUUCUAUAUUAAGUGAAUCGCGUAAAAAUAAGGUAGUUAUAAAAAAAGAAAUUUUUGUCAAAUAAAUAUAAACUACAAAAGUAAUCAUUCACUAACAAUCAUAUAGAUACACUAAACAUUAUAAUUUUAUAUUUUGUUUAAAAAACAAAUAAAUAUGUUCGUUCAUUAGAUAUAUUGAAAGCUAAUUCGUUUGAACAUUUGAGAAAAGUCCAGAGACGAUAAAACAUUAAUCAUGGGUUGAUAAGGAAGCCCAAUUCAAGGCAUAUCAUGAAAAGUCUUAUAAGUGAAAGACGUUAUACUUUCUUGUUCAAGAAAGUGACCGUAAUAAUACUUAUGUAGUAAAGCUUGUUCUCAAACAACACGUUAAUUAAGCUAUACUGUAUAUUGUUUACAUCCAAUCCAAUCUAACCCAAACCAAACAAUCGAAAGAAAGCACACCAAAUAAUUUUUUUAUAAUAUAUGGUUGUUCUUCGCGUAAAUUUGUUUCUAUCCAAUGUGCAAAUUGACUAAAAGUUAUAUAUAAAAAGUAUCAAUCUUCAAUAUACACAAAAAUCAUUGGUAAAAAAUGUAACGCAACAAAAGAAAAGCCAAAAUGACCAUAAUAUUGCCGGUCAACUAGCCAACUAUACUAAACUAAUCUGUUGUGUUCUCAUAAUAUGUUAUGAAUGAGUUGAAUUAUAAAAAUAAAAAUUACUCAACUAAAUUUUGUUAAGUUUUUUAGUUCUUAAUAUUUUCUUUGCUAUCUUGUUAUAAAUAAUUAUUUUUUCCAUUUAGUACACUAGUAUUUAAAAACGUUUUCUUCUUAACGCUCAGACGGUAGUUAAAAAGUUCAGACGAUAAUUAAUUUUUCCCCAAAACUUUAAAAACAAAUCUUAUAAUUUAAAUUUUUAUUUUAGUUUUCAGGAAUUAAAGUAACAAAUUUUCGGAUAAAAAUUUAAAAUUAUAAAAAAAUUCUUUUGAAUAAAGAUAAACUGGUUUAAAUUUUGGAAAAAAUUAAAGUUGGUAUAAAUAUAAAAUUACAAUUAUAAUGUUUAAGGUUUUCCACAAUUUAGUUACUUUUAUUAUUAUAGCUUAAAAUAAAAUUAAAAAUUUUACGGAUUAUGUUUUUUUGUGUGUUGACACUUUUAAAAAUUUAUUUUGAACUUGUUAACAUUUUUUUAAUUAAAAUGAGCACAUUUUAGAUUUUAGAACAAGAAAAACAUUUGAAAUUAUUUUAUUAAAUAAAAAGAAUAAUUACUUAUAAUACUAAAAUGAGUUAUCAAAAUUUAAUUAUUAACAAGUUCACAAAAUUUAGUUGAGAUGUUUUCAUGGAAAUUUUCCUUCAAGUUAAUAUGUUUAGAGAACAAGUUAACAAAGUUUAUAUUGUUGAGAUUGUUUUGUUGAUCAUUUUACGAUUUUUAUGCAUAUGAUUUCCAUUUUAUAAAAUAAUUAUCCAACGACUAGACAAAUAUUCAGUCAACUCCUCUACUCUACCACACAUUAUAAGUUAUUAUACAUUCAUGUACAGUUGGACAAAAAUGUUUUAUUGCUUGUAACACGACUCAACGAAAGCUAUGUUAGUUAUCUCCCACACAAUAUUUUUUUUCUUUCGAUUAACCUGGGGGUAUCUCAGGCCCAUGGAGAGGUCCAGACUAAUCCCCAAGGAGAGGUGCAGCCUACAGAUAGAUCCUCUUUCCGGGUAUUCAAAUGGACCCUAAAACAUAGACCUAUAUCUGUGUUAGGUGACCAGGAUAGUUGUGACUUAGUUUCGCGCAACAGGUAGACCGAACCUGAAACGUGUUGACAUCUCAGUCCCGUCUCCUUACCACUCAACCACAAUCACCCGGUCAAUCUCCCGCACAAUGUUUGGUCAAAGAAGUAUUCCUUUGACUAUUUUAAAAUUCUAUUUUGUUGAUUUGUUAAUCUACUUUUCGCUUAAUGAUCAAUUAACAAUGGUGAUGAGUGAACGAUCGACUGAAAAAUUAUUAAAAGCUGUAAUACCCGUGCCCUAGCUACCUUUCAACAUGACAGUUAAUGACAACGUCCAUCGUUCAUGUUUGCUUGCUUUGUUUCCUUGCAAAAGAAAAUAUUUCUUGUGCACCUGUGCUGUAUCAACGGAUAUAAUUAAUAUGUAGAAAAAGUUGUUAUUACCUACAGAAAACAUUUAAAUAAACGAAAUGUCUAUAUAUUAGUCAAAUAUAAAUCAAAUGGCGGGAACGGACGGGUAGCAAGUCAUUGUGCGCAACCCUACUUGGUAAGUAUAUCAAAAAUGCCUUCGACUGUCUGUUUGAUCUCAUACUUUCCUCGUAAAUUUCUUCCUAGGUUUCCAACUCUCUACUAUUCUUUACACGUUUUGGUACGUCUCUGGUUUGGACUAUAUGUUUCCACUCAUUUCCAAUUUCUUUUUUUUUCUUCGUUCGAAAGACGUAACAGAUAUUUAGUCAACUCCUCUACUCUACCACACAUUAAAUAUAAGUUAUUAUACAUACCUGUACAGAUGGACAAAAAUGUUUUAUUGCUUGUAACACGACUCAACGAAAGCUAUGUUAGUUGUCUCCCACACAAUGUUUGAGUUGGUCAAAGAAGUAUUCCUUUGACUAUUUUAAAAUUUUAUUUUGUUGAUUUGUAAAUCUUCUCUGCGCUUAAUGAUCAAUUAACAAUGGCGAUGAGUGAACGAUCGACUGAAAAAAUUUUAAAAGCUGUAAUACCCGUGCCCUAGCUACCUUUCAACACAACUGUUAAUGACAAUGUCCAUCGUUCAUGUUUGCUUGCUUUGUUUCCUUGCAAAAGAAAAUAUUUCUUGCAUGUAUCAACAGAUAUAAUUAAUAUGCAGAAAAAGUUGUUAUGACCUAUACAAAACAUUUAAAUAAACGAAAUGUCUAUAUAUGAGUCAAAUAUGAAUCAAAUGGCAGGAACGGACGGGUAGCAAGUCAUUGUGCCCAACCCUACAGGUGGUAAGUAUACAAACAUGCCUUCGCCUGUCUAUUUGAUCUCAUACUUUCCUCGUCAUUUUCUUCCGAGGUUUCCAACUCUCUACUAUUCUUUACACGUUUUGGUAAGUCUCUGGUUUGGACCAUAUGUUUCCACUCAUUUCCAAUUUCUUUUUUUUCUUCAUUCCAGUGACUUACCACUUGAUCACUUAACAUUUUCCUAGAAACUUCGUAUCCUGUUAUAUAUAUCACUGUUAUUUCUCUCAAGUCCUACCAUUCUCAAGAAGCAAAAGAAAUAAAACAAACACACAAUAAUUUUGAGAUGUCUCCGUUGCCGUUGAAUGCUGAGCAAGUAUUGCAACAUUUUACCCAUAUCCACCCUUUAACGAAAGUUGACGGGGUUGGCACGUACAUAUGCGAUGGCUGUAAAACCUACGGCUCUGGGAGGACCUACCGUUGCGCCGCUUGCAACUACGAUCUUCACGAGUUCUGUGCCAUAUGUCCCCCUACACUCCUCAGCACUCUACAUCCACACCACGAGCUCAGGUUAGUACACCAGGAUAGACGUGCAUGCGACAUCUGCAAAGAAUCAAUCAACGGGCUGUUUUACCAAUGCAAGACCUGCGGCUUCGACGUCCAUCCACUCUGCACGCAGCUGCCUAAGGAAGUGAUCCACAAUCACGGAUAUACAAAACAAGUUCAGGUUCGAGAAUCCCAUACGGGUUCGACUAGUAAAACGGUUCG
rnacentral:lncRNA from 1 species